GGAGGGAGGCGGGGCACCUCGCUUCGCGGCGGCUUCAUCUUCUUCCCGCGAGAGGAAACCCUCGUCGUCGCCUCCUCCCCCAAUCCCCUCCCUAGCUCUUGCCCCGAUCGUCGAUCCACGCCUCGCCGGAGAAUCCCCGAGCCGCGCGGCCCCUUCCUUCCUUCCUUCCUCCUCGCCCGCGCCGUACCCAGAUCCCGCUCCUCCACUCCACAUCGAUCGGUCAUGGCCGCCGCACCAGCACCAGCGCUAGCCCCCGACGCCGCCGCACUCCAGCUGCAGGUGUUGCACCCCUUGGUGCUUGGAUCAGAAUGUCGUGCAUAUGCAUAUAUGCAUAUGCAUAUGCAUAUGCUGGAAGGUGUUGGUCCCCUUGGUGCUUGGAUCAGGAUGUGGUUUGGUUAUUCGCCGCAGUUGGUUUUCUUGUUAAUAUGUAUUCGGAAUUCGUGGCUAUAUCGGAAGGUGUUGUCGCCGGAUCUGUGGUUCACUCAGAAUGAAUUGGUUUGCCAUGAUGUUGAGUACUUCACACGGAAGGCUAUAAGGACAUUUAUUAUUGAUAUUGAGCAUGUAGGUGACAGGACCUAUCACACUUUAAUGAGAAGCAUUCAUGAGUACAAUUUGCAGAACUCUCCAUUCACGUGCCUCAAUGCUGCGGUAACACCAGCUGGUGGAUAUCAUAUGAUCUUAUUGUACAAGGGACAAAAGUCUGUUAGGCUGCUCUUCAGGGACUCGGACGGAUAUCUUGUUGCUGUUGAAGAUGACUUGGGUUCUUGGUACGGUUCAAAGAUAUACCAGAGCUACCAUUCAUUAAUUCAGCUGAAAUGAAAAUGGAAUCAGGCUAUGGAGACAUGGAGACGAGUGAAAAACCAGUCACCGUGGGCCCGAAAGCUUUGAAUGAUCUCUUCUAUCGUCUUUUGAAGUAUGACAACAAUGCAACCCUUGGCAGUCAGACUCUUGAAUUGCAAAUGAAAGCACUGUACCGAGCAUGCUUAAUGCUUGGUGAGGGUCCGAGAAUCCGUCAUGUAAGAAGGUUUGUGUCGAAAAGAUUCAAGGUAUUCAUGGAUCUGGAGUUUCCAAGUGAUCUGUGGAAGCUUGUCCACAACUGGGGCCAUGUGUCUAAGUACAUCAUCUUCUGCUACGACAACAACAUGCUAGAGGCACCACAAGUGGACAAUGCUGAGUCCAUGUCACUCAUGAGGAUUAUGUCUUUCAUCGAGAUCCAGGGUCAAAGAAUCAUCUACACCCCCACAGAUGCAGCUGGACCAGGUGGGGCCCUCCUCCUGGUGAAGGCAAAUUAAUCAUUCGCUCGGGCUUCAUGUUGCACGAAUUGUGUAACCACGUCAACCAAAGCCAUACCGCACGCGACAACACUGCACAGUUCGCACUGCAGCCUGACCUGAAGUUCAUGAACUGCAUUUAUGGCCAGGAAACUGUAUAUGAAAGUUAAACUGUUCUGAACUAGAGUUGCUUGUUUUCGAUGGUUUGGAUGUAAAGUGCACCACUUGCUAUGUUCUACCACGUUAGUGUAGCACCAGUCCAGUGAUAUGGAUCAUCAAUGUUUGAUCCUGCUCCCUCUAAACCAAAUUGGUGUUUGACCAUAUUUGAUUUUUCACAUCACUGCUACUUUGUGGAGUAUUCACUACCACGACCGGCGUAAAUUGUCAGGUUUACUCAGGCAUUGUAUGAUGCAACGAAUAAUGGUAUUCUUGUGCCCUCCUUGCUCGUCGAGUUGAGGUUAUAAUCCGAU
rnacentral:lncRNA from 1 species